CGUAGGGGGCAAGCGUUGUCCGGAUUUAUUGGGCGUAAAGAGCGUGUAGGCGGCUAGAUAGGUCCGUUUUUGUGAAAACUCGAGGCUCAACCUCGAGACGUCGAUGGAAACCAUCUAGCUAGAGUCCGGAAGAGGAGAGUGGAAUUCCUGGUGUAGCGGUGAAAUGCGCAGAUAUCAGGAAGAACACCCGUGGCGAAGGCGGCUCUCUGGGACGUGACUGACGCUGAGACGCGAAAGCGUGGGGAGCGAACAGGAUUAGAUACCCUGGUAGUCCACGCUGUAAACGAUGGGUGCUAGGUGUGGGCGGUGUCGACUCCGUCCGUGCCGAAGCUAACGCAUUAAGCACCCCGCCUGGGGAGUACGGCCGCAAGGCUA
rnacentral:rRNA from 1 species